rnacentral:rRNA from 1 species
CCCUUAGAGUUUGAUCCUGGCUCAGGACGAACGCUGGCGGCGUGCCUAACACAUGCAAGUCGAACGGAGAAUUUUAUUUCGGUAGAAUUCUUAGUGGCGAACGGGUGAGUAACGCGUAGGCAACCUGCCCUUUAGACGGGGACAACAUUCCGAAAGGAGUGCUAAUACCGGAUGUGAUCAUCUUGUCGCAUGGCAGGAUGAAGAAAGAUGGCCUCUACAAGUAAGCUAUCGCUAAAGGAUGGGCCUGCGUCUGAUUAGCUAGUUGGUAGUGUAACGGACUACCAAGGCGAUGAUCAGUAGCCGGUCUUAGAGGAUGAACGGCCACAUUGGGACUGAGACACGGCCCAAACUCCUACGGGAGGCAGCAGUGGGGAAUCUUCCGCAAUGGACGAAAGUCCGACGGAGCAACGCCGCGUGAGUGAUGAAGGAUUUCGGUCUGUAAAGCUCUGUUGUUUAUGACGAACGUGCAGUGUGUGAACAAUGCAUUGCAAUGACGGUAGUAAACGAGGAAGCCCGGCAUA